rnacentral:rRNA from 1 species
GACGAACGCGGCGGCGUGCCUAAUACAUGCAAGUAGAACGCUGAAGGAGGAGCUUGCUUCUCCGGAUGAGUUGCGAACGGGUGAGUAACGCGUAGGUAACCUGCCUGGUAGCGGGGGAUAACUAUUGGAAACGAUAGCUAAUACCGCAUAAGAGUAGAUGUUGCAUGACAUUUGCUUAAAAGGUGCAAUUGCAUCACUACCAGAUGGACCUGCGUUGUAUUAGCUAGUUGGUGGGGUAACGGCUCACCAAGGCGACGAUACAUAGCCGACCUGAGAGGGUGAUCGGCCACACUGGGACUGAGACACGGCCCAGACUCCUACGGGAGGCAGCAGUAGGGAAUCUUCGGCAAUGGACGGAAGUCUGACCGAGCAACGCCGCGUGAGUGAAGAAGGUUUUCGGAUCGUAAAGCUCUGUUGUAAGAGAAGAACGAGUGUGAGAGUGGAAAGUUCACACUGUGACGGUAUCUACCCAGAAAGG